rnacentral:rRNA from 1 species
GGCAUAUACAAUGAGAUGCAAUAUCGCGAGAUGGAGCAAAUCUAUAAAAUAUGUCUCAGUUCGGAUUGCUCUCUGCAACUCGAGAGCAUGAAGCCGGAAUCGCUAGUAAUCGUAGAUCAGCCAUGCUACGGUGAAUACGUUCCCGGGUCUUGUACUCACCGCCCGUCACACCAUGGGAGUUGAUUUCACUCGAAGUCGGAAUGCUAAAUUAGCUACCGCCCACAGUGGAAUCAGCGACUGGGGUGAAGUCGUAACAAGGUAACCGUAGGAGAACCUGCGGUUGGAUCACCUCCUUUCUAGA